rnacentral:rRNA from 1 species
AUACGUAGGUCCCGAACGUUGCGCGAAAUUACUGGGCGUAAAGGGUCCGUAGGCGGUCUGGUAAGUGGAAGGUGAAAGCCUGGGGCUCAACUCCAGAAUUGCCUUCCAAACUGCUGGACUUGAGGCAGGGAGAGGUCGGCGGAAUUCCCGGUGUAGUGGUGAAAUGCGUAGAUAUCGGGAGGAACACCAGUGGCGAAGGCGGCCGACUGGAACUGUCCUGACGCUGAGGGACGAAAGCCAGGGGAGCGAACCGGAUUAGAAACCCUAGUAGUUC